UUGGAUGAUGAUGAGGCCUGU
rnacentral:piRNA from 1 species